CCUCACGCCCCGGCCCCCUUAUGUUGGUGAGUAGGGACCUUCUGGGAGCCUCCAUGUGUAGCUGUUCACAGAAUUAUAGAUUUCCAAGCCAGAAGGGAUCUGAGAACUGGAAAAGUAGAUAGAUGUAGAGAGACAUCGAGGAGGGGGGAUAGAGAGCGGGAGAGAGGGAAUCCUUAAGAUCACAUAGGUAACAAAAGGUCCUAGGUUGGCCCCAAAUUCACUGUAUUUUCUGCUAUGCCAUGAUGCUUUCUCAGUGUAACUUCCCAUCCCUCUCCCUUCCAAACUUAAACCCAACAUUGAUCCUGAUGCUUUGGACCACAAUAAAUUUUAAAAAAAGCUAUUGUUGGCUUUGGAGGAAAUCAGACCAUGAGACCAGAAUGCAGGGGAUGGAUGUUUCUUCUCAUUUUUAAGUAUCUAGAGGAUUUACCUUACACUCCUCAGAUGCCAAAAUGCUAAAAGGGACUUCAAAAAUCUAGUCACCCUCAUUUUACAGAUUAGGAAACUGAUGCUAAUAGAAGGAUAAAUUAUACUAUCAUAUAACCAAUGAUAGAGCUCAGAUUUGAACCCAGGCUUUUUUUUUUUGUCUCUUUCUAUUCUGUUUGCUUUGAUUCAGGGAGGAAGAAGAAACAGCGUGCAUCCUAUAGGUGUUCCCCAGGCCUGACUCCUGUGGAAGAAAUGGAGAUGAGAACUACAGGGGAAGUGGAGAGACAAAUGCGCCUUCCACUAUUAACAUGUUGCCUCUUAAACUGAAGUAUGAUGGAUGAACCUGCCAUAAUAAUCCUACAGCAAUGCUGCAUCAUGCUACAGAGGUAAGCAUGGAUUCUUAAAGAUACAAGUUCUAUCUAGCCAGUCCUACCAAGAUGAACGGUCCACCUCCUGGACUGUCUAUUGUCUGAGGCCACCUGAAGACCAGAUUAACUAAGUAGCGAGCGUCUUGCCACCAGGCUUGACCGGAGGGUGACCAAUUUUUGAGUCAUGGCAACUUUCAAUGACUGUCUCCCAAGUCUCAGAGGAAUUAUGCUUUGAGUCCGUAUAAUGGAGACGAUACCAACAGAACCGAAGAUCCCUGAAGUCUCAAAGUGUGAGGCGUUAAAGUUGGAUGUGAAGAAUAAUUUCCCAGUGUUAAGGCUGUUAAACACUGAAAUGGUUUCCCUGAGGGAGAUUAUGUAAUCUUCUCCGUAGGUGUUUGAAAAUAUGACGGAUCUUGAUUUGCCUGGGCUCGCUUCCUGUGGUCCUGCCUAGAGGUGUGUGGCUGGACUUCCAUGACCUCUUGGCUUUCUUCCUCCUCUUCAAAAUGGGGUUAAUAAUUCUUGCUUUCCUUGCAGGGGUUUUGUGAGCAUGUGAAUCACUGAGAAGAUGUAAACUGCUAUUAUAAGAGUUGUAAUUAUAAUCAUUACUGCUAAUAGACCACUGGGCUUGACUCUCAGAGAGUUCACCAGGGAAUGUGAGGAUAAAGAACUGAGACAAGAACAGUCAAGUCUGCACUCAGGCAAUUAACAUCACCUUGAGGUUGAAGAUCACCUUUCUUCUGGGCUUUUUCAAGUUUAUGAACUCAAUGAGGCAGGGCUUCUAUUAGAAGGAAUCCCACAGGAUAGCAGGGUCAGCCUCCUUUUUGGAGUGAAGGGAAAGUUAUCUUCUAGGAAAGGUGUCUUAAGUUCAGAGGGAAACAAAUAUCUCUCUGUGUGACAUGCAGAACACUGCUCUGAUUGUCAGUACUUCCCUAGGAUGCAGAAGAGAGGCAACCAUAAUGUCAGGGGAAAGACAAAGGAGGAAGCUGAUUAAGUGAAAAAUGGAAGGUAUUAGAGCUCUACAACCAGAAAAUAAAUAUUAGGAAACAGGAUGGAAUAAAAGGAAG
ensembl:lncRNA